rnacentral:piRNA from 1 species
UCUCAUCAUGCAGUGAAAUCCUGCUCUCAUC